GCUGACCAUUGCCAGCUAACUCAUCAGUGGUGAUUUAUCCAGCGGCUUUCAAAGUGCAAUUUCUGGACUAGCAGCAUCAUUUGAGAUUCCUUAGAACCUCACAUUCUUCCCAAGCCCCCUGAAUUGGAAAUUCUGGGGCUGGACCACUGCAACCUGCAGUUUCACCAGGCUUCGAGGUAGACCUGAUGUUCAGAAACCAUAAACAAGGUCUUCGGGCUCUUCACAAACCAUCCCUAUCCUCCUGUUUGACCUGACAUCGCUCUUGAAAGCCCUCAAAGAACAGCCUCAAAGAACACAGCCUCGAAGGGAAGGGCCAUAUUUGUGGGCCUGUCUAACAAUUAAGAGUGACCACAUGGAAUGGGGGAUGAAAGGGUUAAAGAAGAACAAAUAUUGAACACAGCUUUUCUAUGAACAAACUGCAGGCAGCUGCUGCUUUGCAAGGGAAGCAGUUGAUUGAGAAUAAUGGUUCUGUUUUGGAGGUUGAUGGAAGAUGCCCUUUGGCCAGGAAAACAGCUCAUGCUUUUAGAGGAGGAUAAUUGCCAGAAGGCCUCUCUGAAUAAAAAAAAAUCCUGACCUCACAGCCUUUGCGCUUACUUGGGUUAGAAUGCCACAGUGAACAUUGCCCCUUGUCAUCACGUAGAGGUGCUCACAGGUAAAGCAACACAAGGAGCAUAUAGGAUCACCUGCUGGAUCUUGUUUUUAACACCAGGGAGGAAAAUGGUGUCUUGGGUAAUGAACAUGCCUCAAGACUGAGCUGGCCAUCUUCAGUGUCAUCCAAACCCUCAGUGGCCCCUGAAAAACCCUUUGAAAAGAUUCAGCACGUUGCCAUGGAGAACAUCCCACUGAAGGAAUGUAUAGAAGUAGCAGGGUUAACUGAGUGCCUUCCAUCUUCCCUCCAAGGGAUCUGCAAUGAGAUGGGAGAAGGCAACAGGCUGUGUGGGAACCACUGAAGCUGGGAUGGCAGGGAAAGAACAUCUUAGGCUAACUCUUCAAGCCUUGCUGUCACAUUUGCUUUUGAGUCUAUGGUGUCAGCUGCCUACCAGUUGCUUUCAUCUCUAGAAAUCUGUGACUUGCAGUAUGACAAGAACAAAAGGUGACAAUACAAAGGACAAAGGGCAAGGAAUACAGACGGAGAAGCCGCUUAGAGUCUAGGAUGGCAGAGGUUCUCUUGAUCAUUUCAUUUUUGAGCGCUUGUAGAGCUUUGGUGUACCAGAGGUGCUUGAACAGCUUACCACACCACAGAUGAAUGGCCUUUGGAUUUCUCCUAAGAAAAUGUGGCUACCUGAAAUUCAACUCCAUUUUCUGGUCUUCAAUAUUUCUUUUGUGUUCAGUUUGCCAGCUGAGGAGAAGUGGCUAAGCAUAGCCUGUUACUGAUGCUAAAGCCCAAGUUCUGAACCUAACAACUCCAGCAACAUGAUCCUGUUUCAAGAGACAAAAAAGUGAC
rnacentral:lncRNA from 1 species